GGGGUUGUGGCUCAGUGGUAGAGCGCUUGCCUAGCAUGUGUGAGGCACUGGGUACAGGUCUCAGCACCACAUAUAAACAAAUAAAAUAAAGGUCCAGAGACAACUAAAAAAAAUUUUUUUAAAAAAAAGCAAGAACACUAUACUUUUCUUCAAAACCCCAGUCCCA
rnacentral:tRNA from 1 species